AGCAUAUUAAGUAUUAGAGGCAUUGCCUGCCCAGUGACUUAAGUUUAACGGCCGCGGUAUCCUGACCGUGCAAAGGUAGCAUAAUCACUUGUUCCUUAAUUAGGGACUAGUAUGAAUGGCUAAACGAGGGUUCAACUGUCUCUUAUUCUUAAUCAGUGAAAUUGACCUUCCAGUGAAGAGGCUGGAAUAUCAUAAUAAGACGAGAAGACCCUAUGGAGCUUUAAUUGACCAGUUUAAUUAUUAUUACAAUUAACCUAAUGGCUCAUCAACAAUAAUAUAAACUCAAAAUUUCGGUUGGGGUGACCUCGGAGAAAAAUAAAUCCUCCGAAUGAUUAUAACAUAGACAUACAAGUCAAAGUAACUAAUAUAAUCUUAUUGACCCAAAAAUUUUUGAUCAACGGACCAAGUUACCCUAGGGAUAACAGCGCAAUCCUAUUUAAGAGUUCAUAUCGACAAUUAGGGU
rnacentral:rRNA from 1 species